rnacentral:lncRNA from 1 species
UUCCAUAGGAUUUUGUUCUUGCUUUAACCCCUGAGACUCAGCUGUUCUAUUGGUCUGAGGCGGUGGUAGAUUACUCAGCUGUUCUAGUGGUCUGAAGCAGGUGGUAGAUACUCAGCUGUUCAGUGGUGUGAGACAGGUGUUAGAUUACUCAGCUGUUCUAGUGGUCUGAGGCAGGUGUUAGAUUACUCAGCAGUUCUAGUGGUCUGAGGCAGGUGGUAGAUUACUCAGCAGUUCUAGUGGUCUGAGGCAGGGUGGUAGAUUACUCAGCAGUUCUAGUGGUCGAGACAGGUGGUAGAUUACCACAGUUCUAGUGGUCUGAGACAGGUGUUAGAUGAGGGUUUUCAACGUUAAUAG